rnacentral:rRNA from 1 species
AGAGUUUGAUCCUGGCUCAGAUUGAACGCUGGCGGCAUGCCUAACACAUGCAAGUCGAACGGCAGCAUGUUUCGCACUUAGAUUACUUUAAGGGAAGAGUAAUGUAAGUGCGAAAUGAUGGCGAGUGGCGGACGGGUGAGUAAGAGGUAGGAAUCUGUCCUUAAGAGCAGGAUAACCCGCGGAAACGGGGGGUAAUACGG